CUACCCGGGUAUCUAAUCCUGUUUGCUCCCCACGCUUUCGCGCCUCAGCGUCAGAACCGGACCAGUGAGCCGCCUUCGCCACUGGUGUUCUUGCGAAUAUCUACGAAUUUCACCUCUACACUCGCAGUUCCACUCACCUCUUCCGGUCUCGAGCCGAACAGUAUCGAAGGCCAUUCUGUGGUUGAGCCACAGGCUUUCACCCCCGACUUGAUCGGCCGCCUACGCGCCCUUUACGCCCAGUGAUUCCGAACAACGCUAGCCCCCUUCGUAUUACCGCGGCUGCUGGCAC
rnacentral:rRNA from 1 species